AGUCGAGCGACAGACAGGAGCUUGCUCCUUUGACGUUAGCGGCGGACGGGUGAGUAACACGUGGGUAACCUACCUAUAAGACUGGGAUAACUUCGGGAAACCGGAGCUAAUACCGGAUAAUAUUUCGAACCGCAUGGUUCGAUAGUGAAAGAUGGUUUUGCUAUCACUUAUAGAUGGACCCGCGCCGUAUUAGCUAGUUGGUAAGGUAACGGCUUACCAAGGCGACGAUACGUAGCCGACCUGAGAGGGUGAUCGGCCACACUGGAACUGAGACACGGUCCAGACUCCUACGGGAGGCAGCAGUAGGGAAUCUUCCGCAAUGGGCGAAAGCCUGACGGAGCAACGCCGCGUGAGUGAUGAAGGUCUUCGGAUCGUAAAACUCUGUUAUUAGGGAAGAACAUACGUGUAAGUAACUAUGCACGUCUUGACGGUACCUAAUCAGAAAGCCACGGCUAACUACGUGCCAGCAGCCGCGGUAAUACGUAGGUGGCAAGCGUUAUCCGGAAUUAUUGGGCGUAAANGCGCGCGUAGGCGGUUUUUUAAGUCUGAUGUGAAAGCCCACGGCUCAACCGUGGAGGGUCAUUGGAAACUGGAAAACUUGAGUGCAGAAGAGGAAAGUGGAAUUCCAUGUGUAGCGGUGAAAUGCGCAGAGAUAUGGAGGAACACCAGUGGCGAAGGCGACUUUCUGGUCUGUAACUGACGCUGAUGUGCGAAAGCGUGGGGAUCAAACAGGAUUAGAUACCCUGGUAGUCCACGCCGUAAACGAUGAGUGCUAAGUGUUAGGGGGUUUCCGCCCCUUAGUGCUGCAGCUAACGCAUUAAGCACUCCGCCUGGGGAGUACGACCGCAAGGUUGAAACUCAAAGGAAUUGACGGGGACCCGCACAAGCGGUGGAGCAUGUGGUUUAAUUCGAAGCAACGCGAAGAACCUUACCAAAUCUUGACAUCCUUUGACAACUCUAGAGAUAGAGCCUUCCCCUUCGGGGGACAAAGUGACAGGUGGUGCAUGGUUGUCGUCAGCUCGUGUCGUGAGAUGUUGGGUUAAGUCCCGCAACGAGCGCAACCCUUAAGCUUAGUUGCCAUCAUUAAGUUGGGCACUCUAAGUUGACUGCCGGUGACAAACCGGAGGAAGGUGGGGAUGACGUCAAAUCAUCAUGCCCCUUAUGAUUUGGGCUACACACGUGCUACAAUGGACAAUACAAAGGGCAGCGAAACCGCGAGGUCAAGCAAAUCCCAUAAAGUUGUUCUCAGUUCGGAUUGUAGUCUGCAACUCGACUACAUGAAGCUGGAAUCGCUAGUAAUCGUAGAUCAGCAUGCUACGGUGAAUACGUUCCCGGGUCUUGUACACACCGCCCGUCACACCACGAGAGUUUGUAACACCCGAAGCCGGUGGAGUAACCAUUGGAGCUAGCCGUCGAAGGUGG
rnacentral:rRNA from 1 species